rnacentral:rRNA from 1 species
GACGAACGCUGGCGGCGUGCCUAAUACAUGCAAGUUGAGCGCUGAAGGUUGGUACUUGUACCAACUGGAUGAGCAGCGAACGGGUGAGUAACGCGUGGGGAAUCUGCCUUUUAGCGGGGGACAACAUUUGGAAACGAAUGCUAAUACCGCAUAACAACUUUAAACACAAGUUUUAAGUUUGAAAGAUGCAAUUGCAUCACUCAAAGAUGAUCCCGCGUUGUAUUAGCUAGUUGGUGAGGUAAAGGCUCACCAAGGCGAUGAUACAUAGCCGACCUGAGAGGGUGAUCGGCCACAUUGGGACUGAGACACGGCCCAAACUCCUACGGGAGGCAGCAGUAGGGAAUCUUCGGCAAUGGACGAAAGUCUGACCGAGCAACGCCGCGUGAGUGAAGAAGGGUUUCGGAUCGUAAAACUCUGUUGGUAGAGAAGAACGGUGGUGAGAGUGGAAAGCUCAUCAAGUGACGGUAACUACCCAGAAAGGGACGGCUAACUACGUG